AGGUAAUGUCUGGGAAACUGCCUGAUGGAGGGGGAUAACGUACUGGAAACGGUAGCUAAUACCGCAUAACGUCGCAAGACCAAAGUGGGGGACCUUCGGGGCCUCAUGCCAUCAGAUGUGCCCAGAUGGGAUUAGCUAGUAGGUGGGGUAACGGCUCACUUAGGCGACGAUCCCUAGCUGGUCUGAGAGGAUGACCAGCCACACUGGAACUGAGACACGGUCCAG
rnacentral:rRNA from 1 species